UGGGGGAUGCUUCCCUGUGGCCGUGGCCUCUCUAAGGCAUGGUGUCUCACACCCUGGGCGCAGAGAGGUGACUCUCACUCCUAAGAAGUGCAUAUCGAAGGGCCCUGGUCACCUACACCCCACCCCGUGCAGGACAACAUCUGAGCCCCGAUCACCGACCCAGUGCACAUGCCAGUGGUUAAUGACAUGUUCCGUGUGUGCCUGUCCUGACAGCUCGCAGCCAGCGCUGGUGUGUGAAGGCGCAUGGCUCUGCCCCAGCAGCUCGCACAGGCCCUGGCACGGCGGAUGGACGCCGCGAUGUCUGCAGAGUGCAUGAAGCACAUCAGUUUCACAGGCAAACAAGAGAAGUCGAAGCAUGCGACGUGUUUGGCUGAAUCAUACUCCCUGUCCCGAGAACGCACAUCCCCUCCUCUCUCUCUGUCUCUAAUCCGAUCCUCACCACCUGCAUUUUAGGAACAAAAACAUGGAGAUGUGACUCUAUGCACCUGGGUCUCCCUUGCAGGCUCAGAUAUGCAGAGAACAGACGCACUUUGGGCCAGGACCCCCCCCCCCGCCCCCCGUGGAAGAGCCACACUGGUGACCGGUAGAUGUGUCAUUGAAGUAGCAGUGACUUUCUCACAGUGAGGCCCAUUUUGAGUUGAAUUCCACUGAGAAGAGUUUCCUUGCUGACUGCCCAGCCCCACCAGCCCCCACCUGCUGCAUCUACUGUGCACGCAUCUGGAUAGCCAGGGUCGGAGGAGACCCAGUUUCUGGAAAUGAGAAAAGAUAGAAUCUUCCACAAGUGCCCUGUCUGGAAAGGGGGGUGGAUUCAGACGUGGCUCUGCAUUUUGUGGUCCCAGUGAAUGUCAUCAUUCAGCAGGCUCCUGCGAAGAAAGCAAAUUGACUUCAAGGAAAUUGUUCUUUGCUUAUGAAUCAGACAUUGCUUUGACUUUCUCUGAGGAAACAGACUUUUGAUGCCAUAAAAAUUGUAUAAAAGUUGCAGCAGUUCACCUCGUGAAGCUGGGCUUGCCUCUGAGAAGUUUGAGUGGCUCCCAAGACAGAUAGGUCUUCAGAUGUAGAUGAAAUCAGAGGCAAAAAGCCUUGUAGGGGGAGCCCCGACCCAGCAGAGAGGAGCCCAUGGCCAAGUCCCACCUGUUGUUUGCCUUUGUAAAACGAGGGUGGCAGUGGCCUCUUUUCGUCACUCCUGAAGACACAGGAAAAUACUCUGAAGCCGCCUUAAAACAUGUUUUUUGAAUAGUAAUGCCUUCAUAUCAUUCAUCCUUCAGAAAGGAUCAAAGGACACGUGGUGAAAACCGCCUCAUCCAAUUUCCCAGCCCCAAACCCAGCCCUCAGCAAAGGGGGCCACUGUCAGCAGCUGCCCCCCACAAACAGGCUUCACACAUGUGGAUGGCAAUAGGACAGUAUGUUCUCUUCUUACUUCUUGUGUCUACACUGCACACAAUUUCCACACUUCGCUUCUCCACUAAAAACACAGCUGUUAAAAACUCCAAGUGAUGCACAACCAUGAGGAGUUACUAUUAUAGUUUUAAAAUAUUACUUUAAUAAUGUAAAAGGGUUAAGUAUGAAGAUGAAACUCGUUUUUCUGAGCAUUUGGAGAGGGAAGCAGAGUACAUUACAGUGCAGCUGCCUUAAGGAACCGUGGGUCACCGAAACCCUGAGGCUGGUCCGUGUUCCUAUGUUCCUGUGUUUCUCUACGAUUCAUUCAAACCCUCUCUGGGCCAUAAUCAACUAACUGCAGGCACACUUCACACGGGAAGGAAGCUUUCCUGGCCACGGAGACGCAGAGAAGGCUGCCCUGUGCUGGCUGCGCCUCCCGCAGGGGGAGGGGAUCCCUGCGUUCCCUCCUCCACAGUCUCCCCCACAACUAUCCAUUGUAGGCUUGUCUGUCUACACACGGUUGUGUUUCUUCAUUUGUUUCCCAUGUUUCUCGUUGUGUCUCUCCAAGCUGGUGGACACCUGGGACAACCGUCCCUCCUGGUCCCUCCUUAUUGAUUCUGUGGCAGAUUGACUCCAAGGAGGGCAGAGGCACCAAGACAAAGCUGGGUUCCCAUCUGGGACCCAGGAAGAGAGUCCCCAGUUUUCGCAGGGCCUCCUGCAGGGUGGGAGGCAAGGUGGGUCCUCCGAAGCGGCCAGAGCCCCUCUCCUCUCCUGGGUGUUCAGCUCUGAGCUCUCCAGGCAGAGCAUGGAGUGUGCCCUGGUGUCCUGUGAGGCGGGCCAGCUCCCAGGGCAGGCCCAGGAGGCAGGCCAGGCUCUGUGCCUCUCUCAGGGUCACAGAUGAACACAGUCCCCCUGCAUGGUGCUGUGCUGCCCUGGGGCCCCUCCGGGGCUGCUGGCCGACAGCGUCAGGGGAGCUGCUCCCUGCAAUUGCCUUCAGCUGAAGAAAGUCCCCCACACGUCGCUGACCCCCAGAGGCCAGCUACCCCUGGACACUGUUCCCAGCAGAGGCAGAAAGGCCCACGCCCUUGCCUCCAGGGGGAACAGCAACUCUGGGGGCCCCCAGAGGGACGCUUCUUCCCCCUGCAGGCUGCUGACCAGCACACUCUCCCCGGGGACCCGUGAGAACGAAUC